AGGGCUGCACCCAUAGCACAUGGAGGUUGCCAGGCUAAGGGUCUAAUCAGAGCUACAGCUGCCAGCCUACACCACAGCCACAGCAACGCUAGAUCCCCAACCGGAUUUUUUUUUUAAACUAAAGCCAUACAUAUAAAUGAACAGCACGUACACUGGGCAUUAAGAAGAAUACAGAAUUAUUCCACUCACAUAAACUUUGCCUAAAACAGAUUGUUUAGAAAUAAAUACACAGUAGUUAAAGCAAAUGAUUUGCGGUAAGUCAUAAUAAUGGUUACUCCUAGGAAGAGAUGGUGCUGCGAUCAGAAAGGAGCAUAUGGAAGGUUCCUUGGGGCUCACAAUGAGCCGCUGUUGAGCUGAGAGGUGGUUACACAGCUCUUUGCUUUAUGUAAACUAUCGGGAUUUAUGUAUUUUCCACGUAUAUGUUAUUAUCUGCCUCCUCCCACACACACAAAAAGAAAAAGUCAUGAAUAGUAAAAUAUCUCUCGCUAAUCUAAUACCAAGGGGGGUGAUUAGUAUAAGAAGCUCUUUCAGCUGUGCAGAUCUAAUUUCAAAUGUUCUGUCCCAUCGUUCUCUAUAUUCAUAUCUGCUGGAUCAUGAACAAUCUGUGAUUCAGAAAUAAAAGUUCCUACAAGUGUAGACAAAAGUAAUUUCUUGUAGGUGACAUUUCAAGUCUUUAUUUACUCAGUCCUGGAUGGGUUGGGAAAAGGCUCUUUCUCAAUAAUAAGAAAGCAAAAUGCAAAAAAUUCAAGUCAUCCAAAGUUCUCAUCAGCUUUAAUAACCAAGCAUGGAUGUGUUAACUAGAACACAAGUGAAGGAUAGCUAUGGGGGGGGGGGGUUGCUGGGGGACCAAGCAGGAAAAAGGGAAGGUAAAUCUCACCAUUUCCAAAAAAUUUACCUGGUAUUCAACCCUAAAAACUAUCCCCCUUAGAGUAGAUGACUAGCCCCAAAUUUAGUUUGUAGGCAAAACUAGUAGCUGUGGUCCAACUUAUUUUUCUUUACACCUUUAAAUAUCUUUCUCAGUGUCUCAUUUACUGUAUGCACUUUAUAAAAAUAUCUGAAUAAUAAUUUCCAUACUGGUCACAUCAGUGAACAGUAACAGAAUCGUAGGAAGGUACAAAUGACUGUCCUGAAAUAAAAUUUUUUAAAUCAAGGAUAAAAGGUCACGAGUAUAACCCCCAAAAUGCCAGCUUUCUCUUAGAAACAUUUAUAAGCUUGUCAUCCAUUCAUUUAUCUAUGUAAUGCCUUCUGAAUAAUGCAUCCCAAGUAAUCCCUAUUCACUGUGUCUUAAAUCCGUAAUCCCCAAACUUCAACAGGCAUACCUCUUAGGAUAGAGACAAGUCCCCAACUUAUAAAUGGGUUAUAUUCCAAAAGCUCAUUUGUAAUUUGAUCAUUUGGAAUAUGGAAUGUACUUUCACACAAAAGCCAUGAAAUAUGAACUAUGGCAAAAUUCCCUGGCUUGCCCACAAAAGCCUAUAAGGUAACUGAAAUGCAAUAUAUUUGCAAUGCAAAAAAGGAGCAAAUGGUAUUUCAGUUCCUAUCCUACAGGCUCCUGGAAAUAGGCCUUACGCAGUCUCAGCCAGUUCUGAAACUCAUUCAUUCUUGAAAGAUUUUUAUCAGUCAGUAUAAAGAAGGGGUGGAUAUGUAGAGAAAAGACAGCCAAAAGAGCACUGCGCCAUUAAAGGAAGAAGCAAAGUAAAACUUAAAUUUUCCAUUAUGACACAUUCAUUCAAUAUGUGCCAGAACUCCUGCAGCUGAAGCCAAAGGAGAUGGGGUUAGAUCAUUAGAGAGGUUUUUCCAGGCUUCUCCAAGCCCAGGCUGGACAGGACCCGCAGGUAUAUCAAUUCUGUCUUUCAGACCUAAGUGCUUAGCCUAGAAGAAAACAGCGAAGUAAUAUUUUAACAUACACUUUGAAACGUCCCUUCCAAUUUUUUCCGAUUAAGCCAAUAAAGGCUGGGUUAACCAAAAGUAUUUCCUCUCAAUAGGGUUUCAACUUUUUCCGUUUGGGAAACAGACAUCAGGACUUUCACUGCUUGCUGCCCUGUAAGGAGCUUUGCUAAGUCAAUGAAUUUCCAUAAGAUAUGCUUCAAAAUGAAAGAGAUCUGAGAAGUCAAUCACUCUACCUUUUCAACACACCAUAUACCACUCAUGAAAAAGCACUUCCUCUAACCCUAGAAUUCAUUUAGUUCUAGAACGCCAAACCUUCCAAUUUCAUAAUCCUCUAAUGUGAGGAAAAAGAAUGCACACAUGUAUGUGUAACUGGGUCGCCAUGCUGUACAGUAGAAAAUUGACAGAACACUGUAAACCAGCUAUAAAGGAAAAAAUAAAAAGCAUUAUAUAUGUAAAAAAAGGAUUUUCCAUUUCUCUCUUACCUUUACUUUCCUACAAAUUAAGCAUACAAAGCAUACCCAGUGUAAACUAUAAUGAUGAAUUUUUUUUUUUUUUCAGCAGUACAUACAGCCUUCUUUUUGUGACAGAAAGAAGCACCAUUCAGGUGCACAAAGAGAAAAGCCAAUUAUGGGCAGGAAAGCACUGCAACUAGAUACUAACAGUACUGCCCCUGUCUAGACAUUCACCUGAUGGCUGCUGGAUGGAAUAAAAAAAAGAAGACAGUAUGAAGUUUCACCAGGGACACAGCUUCCUAGUUUUCUUUAUCAAUAAUUUCCAUUUUCUCCUUAUAACAGAAUCUGAUUUUGACAGCUAUUUUAAGGAUUUCUGCUAAGCAAUUAAUAUUUCUGGCCAUUGACAUACAUUCCACCAUAUAAGGUAUUUUUCUGUAAGCAUCAAACUUCUUAUACAAUUUUUUUUUUGCUUCUUAGGGCCGCACUCACAGCAUGUGGAGGCUCUCAGGCUAGGGCAGCUACAGCUCUGAUUCAACCCCUAGCCUGGGAACCUCCAUAUGCUGCGAGUAUGGCCCUAAAAAAACAAAAUAAAAAAAAUAAAUAAAUAGAAAACUUCAUACCCAAACAUGCUACUUUUGCAAUCAGAAGGACAAAGUGUUCUUUAUGUCCUUAUCUUUUCAUCUGCUUCUGGGAGCUUGUCCUACAAUCACCUGCACCAAGGUGUUUACUGCAGUAUUAUUUAUAACAUAAAAAAAUAAAAAGGUAAGAGUCUCACAUGAGACUGGCUAAAUGUCAUUCAUACACUACUCAAAUAUCAAGCAAACUGAAAAAGAAUGGAUAUAUGUAUAUAGAUAACUGAGUCACUUCGCUGUAUAUCUGAAAUCAAUAUAUUGUAAGUCAACUAUACUCCAAUAAAAUUUAAACAAAAACAAAUAUCAAGCAGAGAAAAAAAUGUUUUUAAAAACAAUUGAAUGAUAAAGCAAAUCUCAUGAAAACAAUUUAUACAAAGUAAAGAUGCAUAAAAGUAAAUGAAUUUUGAACAAAAGUAAACAAAAAUAAAAACUGAGAGAAAAUAUAUUAAAUACUGCCACUGACUAUAACUGAACUGCAUAAUUAUGAGGAAUUUUUAUUUUCUUUUUUCCUACACUUUAGCUGAUUAUAAAACAAAAUUCUUAAGGUUUUCAUUCAGAAAGAAAACAAAGCAAAGCAACCCCCUGGUGUGAACAUGUGGGUAGAAGAUGGUGGCAAUUCCUACAAUGAAGAAAGAAUUAAGCAGGAACGCAGUAAGCUGAUGAGUUUAGCUCUGAGUCUGUGGCACACCCAGGGCAGGGGUUCAAGAGACAGCCCAGCAAAUGAGUCUGGAGCUCAGGCCAGAUACUUGCCCUGGAGAUGUAACAGGGCAUCAGCAGCAUAUAAUGGUGGUUAGAGCCAGAGUUCUGGGGAAAACCACUCAAGGUAAAGAUAUAGAGUAAGAAGUAAGGAAGUCCUAGAGCUGAACCCUGGGGUGUAACAAACUUAAAGAGGUGAGUAGACAAAGAGAGCAAAAGAUCUGAGCAGAAAUGGGACUGGCUGGAAAGACCAAGUAAAGCCAGUAAAGAGUAGGGUCACAGACAGCAGCAGAGGGAAGGUCCAGGUCAGAGGGGUGGCCAACCAGGUUAAAUGUUACAGAGGGGUCAAACCGACUAGAGUUCUUUUCCAAUCUACAACCCAAAGCAGUGGCGGUUUCUGAAGAGAGGGAGGGACAGAAGUGAGGAUGCAAUAAAGUCUUUGGAAUUUGGGAAAGUAAAACACGGUGACUUGAAAACUGCUCUUUCAGGAGCUUGACCACAAAGGGAAGGUUAGAGAGCCGCUGUUGUUCAAAAUGGGAAGAUAAUUCAGUUGAUUUCUAUGCCAAAGAGCUGAGAGGGAAAGGCUGAAGAUACACCAACACCUCUGCCCCAAGAGCAACAGCUGCCCUCUGUUCCACUGAGACCAUCACAGCUGUCGGCACCAAUUGUCUCCACUUCCUGCCCAAGAGAGGACAGUUGUGUUGUCUGCUAUCUGUCCUCACCUUCACUGUCAUUCCUCCUAUCCCAGAGGAAUGCUGGUCCUUACUCCUGCUCAAGGCAGAGCCACUAUCUUUGGAUUCCAUCUUUUGGCAUCUCCCAGGAACCUUGCUCCAUCAGUUAUCCUCUCUCCUUUCCCAAUUUCAGCUCUUCCCUCUCUCUUUCCCCUUAGCACAUAAAUAAGCGGAACUUUCUGCUAUCUUGGAGGGAAAGUAUAGAAAUUAGAAAUGGGAAAAAAAAUACCAAAAAACUUGAGUGUUCACUAUUUCCCAAAACAAAAAACGCUUGAGUUUCCACUACGUUUCCCAUUAUAGACGUAAAAACACUGCUCUUACUUCUUAGUGGAUGAAUCAAGUAAAUCAUUCACCUAUUUAUUCAAUAAACAUUCACUGGGUGUCCACUAUGAGCCAGGAGUUGAAUAUACACCAUGAACAAAAUAAAGUUUCUGGCCUCAUGAAAUACAGACCAUAAACAUAUAUACAUACACACACAGUACAAACACACACACAGAUGA
ensembl:lncRNA